rnacentral:rRNA from 1 species
AUUGAACGCUGGCGGCAGGCCUAACACAUGCAAGUCGAACGGUAACAGGAAGCAGCUUGCUGCUUUGCUGACGAGUGGCGGACGGGUGAGUAAUGUCUGGGAAACUGCCUGAUGGAGGGGGAUAACUACUGGAAACGGUAGCUAAUACCGCAUAACGUCGCAAGACCAAAGAGGGGGACCUUAGGGCCUCUUGCCAUCGGAUGUGCCCAGAUGGGAUUAGCUAGUAGGUGGGGUAACGGCUCACCUAGGCGACGAUCCCUAGCUGGUCUGAGAGGAUGACCAGCCACACUGGAACUGGGACACGGUCCAGACUCCUACGGGAGGCAGCAGUGGGGAAUAUUGCACAAAGGGCGCAAGCCUGAUGCAGCCAUGCCGCGUGUAUGAAGAAGGCCUUCGGGUUGUAAAGUACUUUCAGCGGGGAGGAAGGGAGUAAAGUUAAUACCUUUGCUCAUUGACGUUACCCGCAGAAGAAGCACCGGCUAACUCCGUG